CCUACGGGAGGCAGCAGUGAGGAAUAUUGGUCAAUGGACGAGAGUCUGAACCAGCCAAGUAGCGUGAAGGAUGACUGCCCUAUGGGUUGUAAACUUCUUUUAUAAAGGAAUAAAACGAGGCACGUGUGCCUUUUUGCAUGUACUUUAUGAAUAAGGAUCGGCUACCUCCGUGCCAGCAGCCGCGGUAAUACGGAGGAUCCGAGCGUUAUCCGGAUUUCUUGGGUUUAAGGGGAGCGUAGAUGGGUUGUUAAGUCAGUUGUGAAAGUUUGCGGCUCAACCGUAAAAUUGCAAUUGAUACUGGCAGUCUUGAGUACAGUUGAGGUAGGCGGAAUUCGUGGUGUAGCGGUGAAAUGCUUAGAUAUCACGAAGAACCCCGAUUGCGAAGGCAGCUUACUAAACUGUGACUGACAUUGAUGCUCGAAAGUGUGGGUAUCAAACAGGAUUAGAUACCCUUGUAGUC
rnacentral:rRNA from 1 species